AUAUUUAUAAAUGUGGUAUAUAUUUUGUGGACUGUCGGAAUAGUUUGGUGUUGUGAUGCAUUAUAUUUGAAAUAUUUACAGAGAUUUCAAGAAAAUAGAAGUGUGAAACAAGUUAAAACCAUCUUUGAACCAAACUGAAGGAUUUAAAAAUUGAUAAAGAUUGCAAAAAUUGAGAUUCUAAAUUGCCAUCGUUUAUUAUGGCUUCCAUUAUUGCAUACAUAUGAAUAAAUGAGGCUAUCGCUUCUUCAGUGGGGACAGAAAGGCCCCCUCUUUCAACAGAAUGGGACCCAUAACCAGAAAUAUAAAUUUUAAUGGAAUCAUCUACAACACAAUCGGACAAGUAUUCGGUAUCGAAGAUUCCUGAGAAACAAGUCACAUCAGUGGGAAGAUCAUGAAGAUCGUUAUUAUUGUCAUCACAAAUUCGAAAUUUAUUUUUGAUUUCAGUACUAUCAUAAUUUCCCUUGCAAUUGGGAACACAGCAACGCCGUGGCAUUAUUAAUGAAUAUGUGAAAUUUAUAAAAAAAGUGUAUAUAAAACAAAAUGUCCAAAAAUGCUAUAGAUUAUAUUAAAUAAGUGUGCUACACAC